rnacentral:rRNA from 1 species
GACGAACGCUGGCGGCGUGCUUAACACAUGCAAGUCGAACGGUGAAGGGACUGGUUUUGCUGGUCCUGGAUGAGUGGCGAACGGGUGAGUAACACGUGAGUAACCUGCCCCCUUCUUCUGGAUAACCGCAUGAAAGUGUGGCUAAUACGGGAUAUUCUGGGUCUGUCGCAUGGUGGGCCUGGGAAAGAUUGCGCCUUUUUUGGUGUUUUUGGUGGGGGAUGGGCUCGCGGCCUAUCAGCUUGGUGGUGGGGUGAUGGCCUACCAAGGCGGUGACGGGUAGCCGGCCUGAGAGGGUGGACGGUCACACUGGGACUGAGACACGGCCCAGACUCCUACGGGAGGCAGCAGUGGGGAAUAUUGCACAAUGGGCGCAAGCCUGAUGCAGCGACGCCGCGUGAGGGAUGGAGGCCUUCGGGUUGUGAACCUCUUUCGCCAGUGAAGCAGGCCUGCCUCUUUUUGUGGGUGGGUGGACGGUAGCUGGAUAAGAAGCGCCGGCUAACUACGU